UAGUUCAGUUGGUAGAGUGCUUGCCUUGCAUGCAAAAGGCCCUGGGUUCUAAUUCCCAG
rnacentral:tRNA from 1 species